CAACAGCGACAACAACAAAAAUAAUAUCAUAAAAAUGGCUAUCACAAAGAAAGUAUCGCUCGCAUUUGUUCUCACUAUUCUCUUUGUCACAUCUUCAGUUCAUUGUGAUGAUAACACUCCCGAUUUUGGAAUAAAGGGAAAUUUCCUAUGCUACCAACCAGCUCCAUGUAAUAUGGGAGGAGACGAUGGAUGCACCCAGUUUUGUGUUAAAGAGAUGAACGAUCGAGUAUAUGGUAGAUGUAUGGGUGGCUCAUGUUGUUGUGUGAUAAAGAUGUAAUAAUCUAUCCAAAUAUUUGUAUUUGCUACUUUAACGAAGUUACGAAUUUUCAUACA